AUACGGAAGGUCCAAGCGUUAUCCGGAUUUAUUGGGUUUAAAGGGUGCGCAGGCGGCCAUUUAAGUCAGCGGUUAAAUCGUGGGGCUCAACCCCAUUCUGCCGUUGAUACUGGGUGGCUUGAUUGCGGUCGAGGUUGGCGGAAUUCGUUGUGUAGCGGUGAAAUGCAUAGAUAUGACGAAGAACACCGAUUGCGUAGGCAGCUGACCAGACCGCAAAUGACGCUCAUGCACGAAAGUGCGGGGAUCGAACAGGAUUAGAUACCCUGGUAGUCCGCACAGUAAACGAUGAAUACUUGUUUUCGGCGAUAUAAUGUCGGAGGCAAAGCGAAAGCGAUAAGUAUUCCACCUGGGAAGUACGCUCGCAAGAGUGAAACUCAAAUGAAUUGACGGGG
rnacentral:rRNA from 1 species